rnacentral:rRNA from 1 species
GAUGAACGCUGGCGGCAGGCCUAACACAUGCAAGUCGAGCGAGCGGCGGACGGGUGAGUAAUGACUGGGAAACUGACUGAUGGCGGGGGAUAACUACUGGAAACGGUAGCUAAUACCGCAUACCAUCAGAUGUGCCCAGAUGGGAUUAGCUAGUAGGUGGGGUAACGGCUCACAUAGGCGACGAUCCCUCGCUGGGCUGAGAGGAUGACCGGCCACCCUGUAACUGAGAUACGGUCCUGACUCCUACGGGGUGCAGCUGUGGGGAAUAUUGCACACUGGGCGCAAGCCUGAUGCAGCCAUGCCGCGUGUAUGAAGAAGGCCUUCGGUUGGUAAAGUGCUUUCAGCGGGGAGGCGUUACCCGCAGAAGAAGCACCGGCUAACUCCGUGCCAGCAGCCGCGGUAAUAC